rnacentral:rRNA from 2 species
UACGGAGGGUGCAAGCGUUAUCCGGAUUCACUGGGUUUAAAGGGUGCGUAGGCGGGUAGGUAAGUCAGUGGUGAAAUCUCCGAGCUUAACUUGGAAACUGCCGUUGAUACUAUCUAUCUUGAAUGCUGUGGAGGUUAGCGGAAUAUGUCAUGUAGCGGUGAAAUGCUUAGAUAUGACAUAGAACACCAAUUGCGAAGGCAGCUAGCUACACAGUUAUUGACGCUGAUGCACGAAAGCGUGGGGAUCAAACAGG